rnacentral:lncRNA from 1 species
UAUAUUUGAAAGAAAAUCAAAAGAUCUUAAAAGAUUAGGUUUUUUGAAAACCCCGGAAAAGGUGGGAAAGGCCUUGAAAGUUACCGAUCUAACCAGGAAAGUCAAGGAUUUGACUCGAAUGACCAUGGCUAGCCGGAGAAUGGUCAGGAAUGACCGGAUAAAAGCCAUGAACAAUAGUCAAGAGAGGGCUGGACGAGAUUCCUUCGAGGACUGGCCAUGAAACCACAUAAACAAAAACCGAAGAGCCAAAGGAGGUCACUACACAUCUCCAAUGGCCAUGGGAGGCCAUGAAUAUAUGCAGGGUUUAGGGUGGAUUAGGGUGUAGUUUGAUGGCGGCGGCUAGGGUUCAUAAGAGUUUCAGAGAGAGUUGAGAGAGAAAAGGGAUUCAAG